CAAUAAGGACUGCAGCUGCUGGAAGCCAGAUUCUGUAGGUGUGAGGCUGGAAAAGCAUAGCAGGUCAGACAGACAGUAUCCACGGGACAGUUCCUUUCUAAUGGAGCAUGAAAAUGCAUAAUAACAUAAUUUCUCAAGAAACCCAGAAGACAGAGCAAGAGGCCACAAUGCAAGACAUCAUUAGUUAAAAAGACAAAACCAAGUAGAUCCAAGGGAUUUCAUUACUCAUCUCUGGAACAAGUGGGACUGGAAUCCAGGUCUCUCACUCCAUGGGGAGGGAUACUACCAAUCGAGCCCAACAGACCCCACCUCUUUGGUCUGGUAAACG